rnacentral:rRNA from 1 species
GAUGAACGCUGGCGGCGUGCCUAAUACAUGCAAGUCGAACGAAACUUCUUUAUCACCGAGUGCUUGCACUCACCGAUAAAGAGUUGAGUGGCGAACGGGUGAGUAACACGUGGGCAACCUGCCCAAAAGAGGGGGAUAACACUUGGAAACAGGUGCUAAUACCGCAUAACCAUAGUUACCGCAUGGUAACUAUGUAAAAGGUGGCUAUACUACCGCUUUUGGAUGGGCCCGCGGCGCAUUAGCUAGUUGGUAGGGUAAAGGCUUACCAAGGCAAUGAUGCGUAGCCGAAUUGAGAGGUUGAUCGGCCACAUUGGGACUGAGACACGGCCCAAACUCCUACGGGAGGCAGCAGUAGGGAAUCUUCCACAACGGGCGAAAGCCUGAUGGAGCAACGCCGCGUGGGUGAAGAAGGUCUUCGGAUCGUAAAACCCUGUUGUUAGAGAAGAAAGUGCGUGAGAGUAACUGUUCACGUUUCGACGGUAUCUAACCAGAAAGCCACGGCUAACUACGUG